GAUGAACGCUGGCGGCGUGCCUAACACAUGCAAGUCGAGCGAGAAAUAAAGGAAUGAAGCUUCGGUAGAUUUUCUUUAUGGAAAGCGGCGGACGGGUGAGUAACGCGUAGGCAACCUGCCCUGUACAGGGGGAUAGCCACCCGAAAAGGUGAUUAAUACCCCAUAACGCAAGAGAUACACAUGUAUCACUUGUCAAAGAUUUAUCGGUAUAGGAUGGACCCGCGUUCGAUUAGCCAGUUGGCGGGGUAACGGCCCACCAAAGCGACGAUCGAUAGCCGAUCUGAGAGGAUGACCGGCCACAUUGGGACUGAGACACGGCCCAAACUCCUACGGGAGGCAGCAGUGGGGAAUAUUGCACAAUGGGGGAAACCCUGAUGCAGCGACGCCGCGUGCGGGAAGAAGGCCUUCGGGUUGUAAACCGCUUUCAGCAGGGACGAGGCGAAAGUGACGGUAUCUGCAGAAGAAGCCCCGGCUAACUACGUGCCAGCAGCCGCGGUAAUACGUAGGGGGCAAGCGUUAUCCGGAUUCAUUGGGCGUAAAGCGCUCGUAGGCGGUCUGUUAGGUCGGGAGUUAAAUCCGGAGGCUCAACCUCCGCCCGCUCCCGAUACCGGCAGACUUGAGUUUGGUAGGGGAAGGUGGAAUUCCUAGUGUAGCGGUGGAAUGCGCAGAUAUUAGGAAGAACACCAGUGGCGAAGGCGGCCUUCUGGGCCAUAACUGACGCUGAGGAGCGAAAGCUAGGGGAGCAAACAGG
rnacentral:rRNA from 1 species